rnacentral:rRNA from 1 species
UACGGAGGGUGCAAGCGUUAUCCGGAUUCACUGGGUUUAAAGGGUGCGUAGGUGGGCAGGUAAGUCAGUGGUGAAAUCUCCGAGCUUAACUCGGAAACUGCCGUUGAUACUAUUUGUCUUGAAUAUUGUGGAGGUAAGCGGAAUAUGUCAUGUAGCGGUGAAAUGCUUAGAUAUGACAUAGAACACCAAUUGCGAAGGCAGCUUACUACACAGCGAUUGACGCUGAGGCACGAAAGCGUGGGGAUCAAACAGG